CCAGCAGCUGCGGUAAUUCCGGCUCUAAUAGCGUAUAUUAAAGUUGUUGCAGUUAAAAAGCUCGUAGUCGGAUGUCGGGCUCGGGCAGGCUGUCGGCUUCGGUCGGACGGCAGGCUCGGGUCUUUCUGCCUGAGGAACCCGUGGCACUUAACUGUGCGGCGUGGGGACGCAGGCCGUUUACUUUGAAAAAAUUAGAGUGUUCAAAGCAGGCCUACGCUUGAAUACAUUAGCAUGGAAUAAUGGAAUAGGACUCGCGUCUUAUUUUGUUGGUUUGGAGAUGUGAGUAAUGAUGAAUAGGGACAGUUGGGGGCAUUGGUAUUCAGUAGUCAGAGGUGAAAUUCUUGGAUUUACUGAAGACUAACUAGUGCGAAAGCAUUUGCCAAGGAUGUUUUCAUUGAUCAAGAACGAAAGU
rnacentral:rRNA from 1 species